rnacentral:rRNA from 1 species
UGCCAGCAGCCGCGGUAAUACGGAGGAUCCAAGCGUUAUCCGGAAUUAUUGGGUUUAAAGGGUUCGUAGGCGGAUAUAUAAGUCAGUGGUGAAAUGUCCCAGCUUAACUGGGGAGCUGCCAUUGAUACUGUAUAUCUUGAGUUAUUGUGAAGUGGUUAGAAUAUGUAGUGUAGCGGUGAAAUGCAUAGAUAUUACAUAGAAUACCGAUUGCGAAGGCAGAUCACUAACAAUACACUGACGCUGAUGAACGAAAGCGUGGGUAGCGAACGGGAUUAGAUA